GUGCAGUCCGUGGGCGUGUGCUACGGGAUGAACGGCGAUCGCCUCCCGUCGCCGGCCGAGGUCGUGCAGCUCUACAAAUCCAACAGCAUCACCGCCAUCCGCCUCUACAAGCCGGACGUCCAGAUGCUCCGGGCCCUCAAUGGGAGCAACAUCGGCGUCCUCAUCGACGUGGCCGACGAGACCGUGGCCCGCCUCGCCACCAGCGUCCCCGGCGCACAGCUCUGGGUCCGGUUCUACAUCCAGCACUACCCGGGCAUCUCCUUCCGGUACAUCUCCGUCGGCAACGAGCUCACCGGCGCCGCCACGCAGAACAUCGUCCCGGCCAUCAAGAACCUCAACGCCGCGCUCGACGCCGCCGGCAUCAAGGGCAUCAAGGUGUCCACGGCGGUCAGGCUGGACGUGCUCGCCUCCUCCUCGCCGCCCUCCUCCGGCGUCUUCAAGGACGGCUACAUGAACCAGGUCGUGGCGCUCCUCGGCACCACCGGCGCGCCGCUGCUGGUCAACGUGUACCCCUACUUCGCCUACAUCGGCGACCAGAAGGACAUCGACCUCAACUUCGCGCUCUUCCAGCCGAGCUCCACGGUCGUCAGGGACGGCGGACUCAGCUACACCAACCUCUUCGACGCCAUGGUCGACGCCGUGCACGCGGCGCUGAGGAAUGCCAACGUGCAGGUGCCCGUCGUGAUUUCCGAGAGCGGCUGGCCGUCCGCUGGAGGCGUCGGCGCCAGCGUGGCCAACGCGCAGACGUACAACCAGAACCUCAUCAAUCACGUCGGCAAGGGCACGCCAUCUAGGCCCCAGCCGCUGGAGACCUACGUAUUCGCCAUGUUCAAUGAGAACCGCAAGACGGGGGCUGAAACGGAGAAGCACUUUGGGUUGUUCAAUCCGGACAAGUCGCCAGUGUACCCUAUUAGAUUCUGA
rnacentral:rRNA from 1 species